rnacentral:rRNA from 1 species
UGGGGAAUCUUGCGCAAUGGGCGAAAGCCUGACGCAGCCAUGCCGCGUGAAUGAUGAAGGUCUUAGGAUUGUAAAAUUCUUUCAGCGGGGACGAUAAUGACGGUACCCGCAGAAGAAGCCCCGGCUAACUUCGUGCCAGCAGCCGCGGUAAUACGAAGGGGGCUAGCGUUGCUCGGAAUUACUGGGCGUAAAGGGAGCGUAGGCGGACAGUUUAGUCAGAGGUGAAAGCCCAGGGCUCAACCUUGGAAUUGCCUUUGAUACUGACUGUCUAGAGUAUGGGAGAGGUGUGUGGAACUCCGAGUGUAGAGGUGAAAUUCGUAGAUAUUCGGAAGAACACCAGUGGCGAAGGCGACACACUGGCCCAUUACUGACGCUGAGGCUCGAAAGCGUGGGGAGCAAACAGGAUUAGAUACCCCUGUAGUCC